GGUAAGAAAACAGGUAGUCCUGGGUGGUGUAAGAAAACAGGCUGAGCAAGUCAGUACACCAGUGUUCCUUUGUGGGUUCUGCUUCAGUUUACUGUCCCAAGGUUUCUGCCCUGAUUUCCCUCCAUGAUAGAUUGCAACCCUGGAGAUGAAAUAAAAAUCUUACCUUCCCAAAAGAUUCUGAUGUUUAUCACAGCAAUAGAAACAUAAGUCACGCAGGCUUCCCUUUUCAUGUGUGCUGUUUUUAUGCUAGAUGAGUGUCCACAGGCCAGUAUGAACUUUGACCUGUCUGCAUAUCCUGUAGCUUAGGUACCAAACAACAUGAAGCAAGGAUGCUGUGUGGCACAUGGAAGUGUUGGUAUUGGCUCUGCUAAACCCAGGCCUGGGUGAGCUCCAGACUGGAUGUUCCCUCCCAGUGGGCUUCCUAGUGGUGGGUUCCAUAUGAAGGGCUGAGCUUACUGUGUGGCCUGUUACUCUUCACCAGUGUGAUUGGACAGGGUUUCGCAGAGGUGGUGGUGUUCAAAUGGGUCCAAGACCUGCAGGCAUUAACUCUCUAGGAGGAGAAAAACAAGAAAAGGGGAUUGCUCCUGAGGGAGUGUGGCAGUUUAUUAUGACGGAUUAGAAGAAUAAUGGCUGUUCAAAAAUUAGCAUAGUGAACCUUGAAAAAUAGCCUAUCACUUCUGGUGCCAGAGUGAUGAUAGCUUGGGUUGUUGCCAGGAUAACUGGGCUUCCCUGUGUGAGGGAGUCUGCAUUUAUUUUAGCUGCCCUGAUCUUUUUUUUUUUUUUUUUUUUUUCCCAAGACAGGGUUUCUCUGUGUAGCCCUGGCUCUCCUGGAACUCACUUUGUAGACCAGGCUGGCCUCAAACUCAGAAAUCUGCCUGCCUCUGCCUCCCAAGUGCUGGGAUUAAAGGCAUGUGCCACCACACCCAGCUAGCUGCCCUGAUCCUAAGAGUGACAUGUAUACCAGCAUCUGCCCUGAUUUUUUUUGGGGGGGGGGGGUCUAGUUUGUGAUGUCUUCUGUGGGUAGCUCUAACACAGAGGCUCAAAGCUAAUCCAUAGAACGGCCAUGCUUUCAGGACCGCAAGAGCAGCCUCUUUUCCUCUCUGGCCCUUGCCUCUCACUGGGCGGAUGAAUCGCCUCAGAUCGGAAUGCUCAGUGACCAGGAAGAGGCACUAUUUGAGGAUUAGGAGGUGUGGCCAUGGAGUAAAUGUGUCACUGGGGGGUGGGGAGCUUUGAGGUUUCAAAAGCUCAAGCCAGGCCCAGUGGCUUGAUCUCCUCAGCUCCGUCUCUAGCACCAUGUCUGCCUGUAUGCUAUCAUGUUUCCCUCAAUGAUGAUAAUGACUAUACCUCUGAAACCAAUUAAUGUUUAUAAGUGUUGCUGUGGUCAUGGUGCCUCUUCACAGCAACAGAAUACUAAGACCAUGGGAAUGUGGGCUCAUGGGAAUGUGGGCUCAUGGGAAUGUGGGUGAUCACUGGGUUGACCUUACCUGCAGAUGUGAGACCAUACCUUAGGAUACUGUUUCUGCUGCCUGGACAUCCAGUGGCUCCUGGCAUGCCGUCUGUUGAUGUGGUGCCCGAGGGGAGCAGGGUGAAUCUGCUGGAAUGGCCAGAGCCGAGGACCCUUGUGGCUUAGCUCUCACAUCCCUGGCCCAAAACAGGCAAGGUGUUCUGCCUCAGCCCCUUAGGCCUUGUUUCUGUUCUGCAAGACUGUGAACAACUGUCUUCUGCCCUUGGUGGCAGUGACAGUGCACUUGGCCCCGCCUCUCCCACAUGCCACAUUCCUAGUCCUAGCCUUAAGAACAUGCAGUACACAGACCAGAAGAGGUGGCUCAGGGGUAAGACUGCUUGCUGAUCUUGAAGAGGACCAGAGUUUGGUUCCCAGAAUCUGGAUCAUGCUGCUCCCAGCCACCCAGAGCUCCAGUGCUUUCUUCUGGCUUCUGAGUGGAUUCUAAGUGUGCUCCCCUGGAGGGAACUCAGUUUGGAACUGAAAAGCAGGGUGGGCGGGCAGCCUGUGGCUGGGGUGGACGCUGCUCUAGGGUCCACC
rnacentral:lncRNA from 1 species